rnacentral:lncRNA from 1 species
AAGAACUUAAAUGUUUACUGAAGGAGUUGGAAAUUCAGAAGUUGAAACUUCACUUUCAGAGGCAGCAAUUGGCACAGUGACAACUUCUGAAGAGACAGCAACAAGGAUGGAGUCAGUAAAUUCUACAGUGUCAGCAAGGGAAGCAGUAGUCACGGGAACUUCCAUUCCCAUAGACUUUGCCAUAGAGGCUUCACCUUCAGAAACU